AACGAACGCUGGCGGCAUGCCUAACACAUGCAAGUCGAACGAAGUCUUCGGACUUAGUGGCGCACGGGUGCGUAACGCGUGGGAAUCUGCCCUUGGGUACGGAAUAACUCAGAGAAAUUUGUGCUAAUACCGUAUAAUGUCUUCGGACCAAAGAUUUAUCGCCCAAGGAUGAGCCCGCGUAAGAUUAGCUAGUUGGUGGGGUAAAAGCCUACCAAGGCGACGAUCUUUAGCUGGUCUGAGAGGAUGAUCAGCCACACUGGGACUGAGACACGGCCCAGACUCCUACGGGAGGCAGCAGUGGGGAAUAUUGGACAAUGGGCGAAAGCCUGAUCCAGCAAUGCCGCGUGAGUGAUGAAGGCCUUAGGGUUGUAAAGCUCUUUUACCAGGGAUGAUAAUGACAGUACCUGGAGAAUAAGCUCCGUCUAACUCCGUGCCAGCCGCCGCGGUAAAAC
rnacentral:rRNA from 1 species